rnacentral:lncRNA from 1 species
AUAAACCAUGCUAUGUCUAGCGUAUGUACAUGUACAUCAGUGAGCAUGCGCAUGUGUACUGCCUGUAGCUGCACAAGUUCGUACUUGUGUUCUGGUCAUUGUUUAGGUCGAGCCCGAGCGCUCGUGUGGCCACGUUCGAGGUGAGGUUGUGUUGGGCUGGCUUGUAGCAGAGUCUGCGAUCGUGUGUAGCGAUGGAGAAGGGAUGCAGCGGGUGCAGCAGAAGGGCGUUGGCGUCCAGGUCUUGCGGAUGAGCAGGAGGCUCACGAUCGAGGUAGACCGGAUCGUUAGGGCGUUCGUGCGCGUGAAGCU